rnacentral:rRNA from 1 species
GAUGAACGCUGGCGGCGUGCCUAAUACAUGCAAGUCGAGCGAACAGACGAGGAGCUUGCUCCUCUGACGUUAGCGGCGGACGGGUGAGUAACACGUGGAUAACCUACCUAUAUGACUGGGAUAACUUCGGGAAACCGGAGCUAAUACCGGAUAACAUGUUGAACCGCAUGGUUCAACAGUGAAAGACGGUCUUGCUGUCACUUAUAGAUGGAUCCGCGCCGCAUUAGCUAGUUGGUAAGGUAACGGCUUACCAAGGCAACGAUGCGUAGCCGACCUGAGAGGGUGAUCGGCCACACUGGAACUGAGACACGGUCCAGACUCCUACGGGAGGCAGCAGUAGGGAAUCUUCCGCAAUGGGCGAAAUCCUGACGGAGCAACGCCGCGUGAGUGAAGAAGGUCUUCGGAUCGUAAAACUCUGUUAUUAGGGAAGAACAAAUGUGUAAGUAACUAUGCACGUCUUGACGGUACCUAAUCAGAAAGCCGCGGCUAACUACGUG